CAAAAGGCUGGCAAUGUAAUUAUCCAUAUUCCCAAACAGUGAAUUUCAAUCAUGAAAUUCUUGAGCCUGAUGAAAGCAUUAGUCGUGGUGUGGCUGAUCAUGGCGGUGUGUUCUGCUAAAGCCGUAACUACUAACCCACCGCAUGAACAAAUAGAUGGUUGCUACUAUAAUGACCACUAUUACGAAAAAGGACAGGAGGUUUCUCCAAAAUGUUUUUGUGAGGGGUACCAUGCCGUGUUCUGCCAGUUUGGUGGUUGACGGCCACAUGUGGCAGCGGAAUGUGGUUCCUGUAAAUGUAGGUCUGUGUUAACAAAGAUCAUGCAUUAAUAAAAGCAAAACCUCAA